rnacentral:rRNA from 1 species
GUCAAGUCAUCAUGGCCCUUACGCUUGGGGCUACACACGUGCUACAAUGGCCAGUACAAAGGGCUGCAAACUCGCGAGAGUGAGCGGAUCCCAAAAAGCUGGUCUAAGUUCGGAUUGUAGUCUGCAACUCGACUGCAUGAAGUCGGAAUCGCUAGUAAUCGUGGAUCAGCUACGCCACGGUGAAUACGUUCCCGGGCCUU